rnacentral:rRNA from 1 species
GACGAACGCUGGCGGCGUGCUUAACACAUGCAAGUCGAACGAUGAAACCUAGCUUGCUAGGUCGAUUAGUGGCGAACGGGUGAGUAACACGUGACUAACCUGCCCCUUUCUCUGGGAUAACGCUUCGAAAGGAGUGCUAAUACCGGAUACUCACAUCGAGGCACAUGCCUUGAUGUGGAAAGUUUUUCGGAAAGGGAUGGAGUCGCGGCCUAUCAGCUUGUUGGUGAGGUAACGGCUCACCAAGGCGACGACGGGUAGCCGGGCUGAGAGGGCGACCGGCCACACUGGGACUGAGACACGGCCCAGACUCCUACGGGAGGCAGCAGUGGGGAAUAUUGCACAAUGGGCGCAAGCCUGAUGCAGCGACGCCGCGUGAGGGAUGAAGGUCUUCGGAUUGUAAACCUCUUUCAGUAGGGACGAAGCGAAAGUGACGGUACCUAAAGAAGAAGCACCGGCUAACUACGUGCCAGCCGCCGCGGUAA